rnacentral:lncRNA from 1 species
AAGGAAAUGGCACAGCAGGGAGAGGGACAUCACACACACCACCAAAUCCUCUUGUUAGUCUCUGGUUUCCACAUCCUUUUCCAAAUCUUCAGGCCAGCUCAUAGCCUCACUUUUCCAUCUCUUCUCCAUUCCUCCAAAGUAGAGCUUCCUGCUGCUACAGGAAUAGCUGCGAAGUGGGAAAGAUCAAGGGUUGUAAGAGCUGCCCCAGAUAAUCUACAAAGAGCUUUGCUAGAAUUAGGUUGUGCAUCUCUGAACCUGAGCUACUACAUGUGUUGGGUCAGGGACCAUGCUUACCUACCAGCUCAAGAAUUGACAGAGGAGGUAUCUAAGAAAUGCUUGUUGGAUGAAUAAAUAAACAGCUGAGUGGGUGUUUAUAUGAGCCUGAAAACUGCCUGCACCAGCACAAAAGUAAAGCCCUGACACCCUCAGGCCACACCUACUGGAAAAAGAUAUGUCAGCCCCAGAAAAAUGUGGGCAACUUGAGGAACAAACUCCUCUGCCCACUCGUCAUAUCCACAGUUUCAGAGAAGAGAAUGUCCCAGCUAGAAAAGCAAGUGGACAAGUGCCAACCCGAUGAGGCCACUGAAUUAUGCAGAAAGAUGACGCACAGAGAAGUGGCAGCCUGCUCCAGUUCCCGUAAUUAAAGAUUACAGUCAGGAUUGGAGCCCGAGGUCCUAACACCCAGUGCUCUCUCCACACUACCGUGGUGCCCGACUCAUACUUCUGCCACGACCACCCUCUCCAUUUCUGGCCCUGUUUGAAACCCCUAAUUCUCACUGAAAACAAUAAAUCCUC